rnacentral:rRNA from 1 species
GAUGAACGCUGGCGGCGUGCUUAACACAUGCAAGUCGAACGAUGAAGCCCAGCUUGCUGGGUGGAUUAGUGGCGAACGGGUGAGUAACACGUGAGUAACCUGCCCUUAACUCUGGGAUAAGCCUGGGAAACUGGGUCUAAUACCGGAUAGGAGCGUCCACCGCAUGGUGGGUGUUGGAAAGAUUUAUCGGUUUUGGAUGGACUCGCGGCCUAUCAGCUUGUUGGUGAGGUAAUGGCUCACCAAGGCGACGACGGGUAGCCGGCCUGAGAGGGUGACCGGCCACACUGGGACUGAGACACGGCCCAGACUCCGACGGGAGGCAGCAGUGGGGAAUAUUGCACAAUGGGCGCAAGCCUGAUGCAGCGACGCCGCGUGGGGGAUGACGGCCUUCGGGUUGUAAACCUCUUUCAGUAGGGAAGAAGCGAAAGUGACGGUACCUGCAGAAGAAGCACCGGCUAACUACGU